UGGCUAGCAUAUACAUGUUAUCCAAGAAACUGCCAACCCAUUAUAUAAAUAUUUAAUUUGGAUUAUUGAAUCAAUGAAAGUUCUUGCGUAUUGUUAUUCCAGCAGCCUAUUUCAUAUUGGAAAUAGGGAACCUGGCUCUCUGUUUUCUACCUUUUGCCUCCUGCAACCACCAUCUUCACUUCCUACUUCUUACUAAAGAUGAAGAGAUUUGUGUAUUGAAUUUAAAAAUCUUGAUUUGCUUAUUUUCAUGUCCCCGUCUUCAUCUUGAAUUGCUUGUUCCUUGUUUGAAAGCUAUUCUAUGGUGUCCAUUGUCAUUGCCUACACAUACAACGGUUAUACAUAUACGUGUGUAUAUAUGUGUAUGAGUGUGUUUAAUUCUCUCUCAUUGAGUAGACUCGUGUUUGGGUGAAUUUGUAUCGAAAGCGGGGCAAUAUUAUCGAUAAUUUGCGGUUUUAUUUUGCUUUAGGAGAAAGGUUUUGUAUUCUUGAAUAUAUACAUUGAAUUUCAAUGGAUUUGAGGCUUGUUUCGAUGGCUGUGGUAGAAUUGGAGAGGG
rnacentral:lncRNA from 1 species